rnacentral:SRP_RNA from 1 species
GCCAGGCAUGGUGGCGCAUGCCUGUACCUGGGAGGCUGAGGUGGGAGGAUCGUUUGAGCCCAUGAGUUCUGGGCUGUAGUGUGCUAUGCUGAUCAGGUGUCUGCACUAAGUUCAGUAUCAACAUGGUGACCUCCCAGGAGCAGGGGACCACCAGAUUGCCUAAGGAGGGGUGAACAGGCCCAGGUCAAAACUAAUUUGCUGACCAGUAGUGGGAUUGCGCCUGUGAAUAGCCGCUGCACUCCAGCCUGGGCAACAUAGUGAGACCCCAUCUCAA